rnacentral:tRNA from 1 species
GCGGGCUCUGGCGCGGGUUCGGGCGCAGGCGGUGGCGCCGCUUGCGCGGUAGUCGUCGUGCCAGCCGGAAGGUCUUCCC